rnacentral:lncRNA from 1 species
AUGCAAGCCAACACUGCCAGCUCUGAAAAAAAAAAUAAUAAUAAUAACAACCCAUGCUCUAAACACCUCAAUGGGGCCGAAGCCUGCAGGGGAAGGAGGCGCACAGAGGAAGAGGGACCUGCCUGCAACUUUCCCCCAGGCUUGUACAACCGAUACUCAGAGGUACCAAAGGAUCCUUACACCCUGGAGGCUACGGUCACCUCCCAAGGGAGCUGCCCCCUGCUCUGGCUGGUCAAACGGAACCAAGUCCGUCUUCCUGAGAGGUUUGGUCCCCUUCAACCAGCUACAGCAGGGCUGGCAAUACCCAGUCCUUGGAGAAACAGAAGAGAUUCGCCUGAAGCUGAAAUUACUUAUUAAUGCUUCCCUUAAGGAAUGACUCUGAUUUUGUCAUAUACUCUCAUGCUCCUGGGAAGGGAGAAGAGAGGAGCCCUGGGUUCAAAAGCAAAGAGGAGUCUCAUGCUCUGCACAUAGAGGUCCAUGCCCUUGCAACCACAACUAGAACCGCUCCCAUGCUCUUGACACACGCAUUCAGCAAAGAUUUUGAGGAUGGAAUUUGUGCCAGCCAGGGGAAGAGUAUAGGACCUAGAAGACAGGGCUCCUGCUCACAGGGGGCCAACAGUCUAAGAAAUUAGACACAUGAAUAUGGCUCAAUUCAAUGGAAUUGCGAGUCAAAGCACAGAUAGUUCCAAAACAUAAUUCUUCUCACAUAGUCCACCAAGUAUGCCUGGCACAUGGCACGCCAUCAAAUCUCUACCCAUCCAUACAGCCCCAAAUACCAUUUUAAGUGAAAAUACCAAGUCAUAGAGGACUGCCUGCAGCAUGGUACUAUUAUAUAAAAAACAAGCAAUAUAUUGUUUAGCAAUAAAUGCAUAAAUGAUAAAACUAUUAAAAAUAACAUUUAAAUUAUUUUUUAAAAAGGAAUUUGGAAUAAUAGUUGCCUCUGAGGUGAAACUAAAGAGAUAAAUUGGGAAAUGGCUUCAGGAAGCUUCAGCAGUAUUGGUAAGGUUCUUUUCCUGAGGUGGAUGGUUAUUUGUGGAAUUGCGAGUCAAAGCACAAAUAUCUAUUCACUAAGCAAUAUGCACAUGACUCAGUUCCCUGAUCUAUGGGAUGGGGAUAAUAAACAUACCACCUACCUCAUAUGGUUUUAUGCGGAAUGAAAGGAGAAUACAUGUAAAGGAAGUUAGAAAGCUCUCAAUAAUUGUUAUCGAUUAUUAAGGGGGUUAUCCUGACCUGUCUUUUUUCCAAAAUGUAUCUCUUUGACAGUGCACCUGGGAGUGUACCCAGAACUUAGCUAAAGCUCAUAACAUUUGUUGUUUGAAUUCCAGAAGCAUGCGUGUUUUCACAUGCUGUGCUCUGACAGUGUGGUCUCAAUGCCAAGAGCCCACCACACCUCCACACAGGGGAUGUGGUGCUUAUCCGUACAUACCUGGGAGUCAGGGAGACCCAGGUUUGGAUCCUGCCCCUCUCACUUUUUAGCUCUGCGACAGCCUCUCUGAACUUUAGUUAACAUUGCAGAAACCUUAGUUUCCUCAUCCAUAAAAUGGGGACAAUGAUACUUAAAGCUGAUUUAAAGAUUUAAAAGGUUAUGGUUACAAAGAGCCAAAUAUAAGCCCUCAAGAAACAGUACCUGUUGUUUUGCUAUUGUACAUGGCAACAGCUCAAGGCUGAUGUUGGGUCCUCAGGCACCUGACAAAGGGAAGAUGAGAUUUUUAAAAUAAAAUAAAAAAGAACUCAAAAAAUAAAUAAAACCUCCUUACAGGAUCUUUUUAUUUUCCAAUUAUUAAUUCUAUUAUCAUGUAGCAUGCAUUCACCCUUACAUGUGUUACUAGUAUGUAAUAAAAUAUACUAUUAAAAACUGCUUCAUACAUGGGACUGAUCUUAAAGAAAUAUCCUGACUGGGAAGCCUUCAUUUGUGAGCAGUGCUGAGAUGCUAGUCUGUAACCAUACGUCCUCCUGAGUACAUGAAGGCCACAGAGUGUGUAUUCCAAAGGUGUGGAGUUUAGGCAUAAGCACAGGAGGCAGAGUGCCUGGGCUCAAAUCCCAGAAUUCCUACCCACUCCCACCAGCUGCGCCACUUUGGGCAAGCUGCUUGACCUCUCUGGUUAUUUCUUUAUCCUGUAGAAUGGAGAUAUUGAUAAUAGCAUCUACCUUGUAGGGUUUUCGUAAGAAUGAAAUAAAAAAUACAUGGAAAUGAAUAAAACUAGUGAUGGGUACAUAAUAUGUUUUUAAGGAUUUUUAUCUUUGAUAAUGUACCUGAAAUGUUCCUGGAACUAAAUUGGUGUUCAAUAAACACUUAUUUAAUAAAUCACCUGUUCUUUUUUUGUAUUCUAAACACAAACUGUGGGAUCAUAGAAUUUCUGGUUCAACUAUUUCUGCUGUUCUCUUUAAACACAGUACACUGGUGCAGACCAGUAGUAAGGAGUGGGAUACUGGCCAGUCCCCUCUCCUUUUUCUGAUGGAGCCACCCCCAGAGCUAGACACAUGCCUCUUAGGGGACCUAAAGCACAGUGAUAGAGCUCUGAAGCAGAUACCCAGAAGAACAGAAGGGUUAAAUGAUGUGAAAACAAAUAUGACAUAGUCAAAAACUAGAUGGACUUGACAAGACCUUCUACCUCUGGGAGAGCAGAAGUCAUGUCACUAAAGAUUAAAGGAUGGCAGGUGCACAUGGUAGGAGAAAAGGCCACUUUCAAAUUGGGGAUUUUAUGGCCAAAAUACCUGAUGAAACUAGACAGGACCAUGUAAGUCUAAGAUAAAUAACGUCUUCCUCUAUGUUAGGAAGAAGCAACCCACACGCAACUCGACUUGAAAACCCCCUCCUACUGGGUGAUUUAGGAAGCAGCUAUGUACCUAUUGCAGGUCAUAGGACUUCUGACAAGGGUCAGAAGACAUGGGGUAAAUAUGUCGAUCCCAAUAUCCCUUGACCUUGACCUUCCCACAGCGUGAAAGCAGUUCCAGCCACAGCCUGCCUCCAAAUCCAAGAUUCCAUUCUUGGCCCCAUGUAUUUGGCCCCAAGAAUACAACUUCAAUGCAAGUUUCUGUAUGAUGUUCAUAAAACUAGAAGAGGAAAUGCAUCUCUGCUUCUGCUAGCCACUAAAAAAGA